CUUCAUUAUCAUUUUGAAUUAAACUUCAAAAUAAGAAAGUUUCUAGAGUGUGAAAAAAAAUGAUGGUUACGAAAAUUGUUAAAAAACUUACGUCAAUGAUGAUGGGGUUGCUUAUCCUUAUUCUCCUUCGUGUGCACGCCAAUGACUUUGCCCCUACCAAAUUCUAUCUGCCUUCACCUCCCAUCCCGCUUCCGUAUUCCUCUAGAAUUGAUGAAGCUAAAAGACCAAUGAAAAGAUUAAUGUAUAAGUGCCUUACAAAGGUAGUUAAAGAUUGUGAACUACACAAAAAAACAUGGCCACUGGAGGACUUAAGAUAUCAAAUUUGUAUUAGUGAAGGUUUUGGAAAAUGUUUUAUUCAUGGCAUAAAUAGUGAAUACUCGAGUAUGUUUAGAGAUUGUAUCAUGACCGAAGGCAAUCGAAUAUUGGCCUAUGGUUCGAAAGCCCGUGUGAGUUGUUUAUUGGAUUGUUAUGAACAACAUAUCAAGAUGCACUCAGAUGUCAUUCAGAUGCAAAAUCCUUGAGUUGCAGCUUUUGAUCUGGUUCAAUGGAUCUAAUGAAUGACGUCGUAGCAUAGUACCUGGAAUGUUAUGACUGAAGCCCGACGCGACAGUUAUAAUGGUUGGACCAUGUGUUGUCCACCUUUUGGUAAACUAUGUUUAUGGCUCGUGUCUCCUGUGACACUUGUAUUUAUGAGCCAGUCUUUUAUUAUGUAUUUAAUAGCUAUGUAGAAGCCUUAAACAUAUAGACAUAUUAAUGGCUCUUUUGUUGUGAUUAACUGUUGUUUAUAGAUGUACCUUCCACUACGUUGAUAAUGUUAUUAUGUGUUAUCUGCUGCGUAGAUGUAACUCUGAUUAUUAAGUACAUGUUAUGGACUGUGUACCGUAUGUUGGCUGAGCGACAUAUAGUCGUGCCACUGUGAUGACUCAUUUUAUGUUUUCAAAAAAAAAAAAAAUCGGGUCGUCACAAUAAUCCCUAGAUCCCAAGCCUCCCGAGAGAGAGAGAGAGAGAGAGAGAGAGAGAGGAAUUCUUGAGGGUUUGAGCUUAAAUCUUCUCGUGGGUAAGCCACAUACCUCUUUCUUUAGCAUAUCUCAUUUUGUAAUACCCCAAAAUUUAAUUUUUUAGAAUGAGAAAUCCUAAUUUCAAAAGAGGACAAAAUUAUAAUUUUGGAGAAACUUAAGGAAAAAACUGAUAUUUAUCGUGAUUGAUUUUAAUUGGUGAUUUUAUUUUAUAAGGUUUGGAUUUACUAUAAAGGAGUUAAUUGUUGGUUUUAAUGUUAGUUGGGGCAAAUCUAUGAUUUAGUGGAACUAAGAGUUAAAAGUGUAACAUGAAGACCUAGAAAUAUCUAGAAAUUUUCUACGUGAAAAGUUCAAAAGACCCAUUCUGAUACUUAUCCACUUACAUGUAGCCAUCCUUAUCCCCUCAACAAGAUCCUCUUUAGUGGAUUUUUAACUAGAGGAGCCGGUCAAUUAUAACCAUGUGAAAUUACAAAAAUACUCCUAAUUAUAACGGACUGGCUCCUCUCCCGUUCCUCUCUAACUGGAGAGGAUUCUAGUCCCUUUUCUCCCUCUUUCUCAUAUUCCCUUCCUCUUUCCUUUCUCUUCCACACACCCCACGCCUCACUUCUCUCGUCUCUCUCAUUUUUCUCCUUUCAUCCCUUUUUUGUAACAGACCGAGUUGAGAGCGAGGGAGAGUUGAGCAAAAAGAGAGCAACAGAUAGAGAGAGGCAAUCUGAGAGAAGAGACGAGAUGAGAUGAGCUGGGAGAGAGAUCGGGACGCUAAGGGAGAGACAUCGAGAGACUGACGCAGAAGAAAGUGUGGAAGAUGCCGUGGGUGGCAGACCCGCAACCCAGAUCCGUCAAAGCUCAAUGACAACCGGGUUCUGGUGCCUUCUUAUCACCCAAACAAGGAAAUUUGCUUAUGGGUAACUAGGUAUUGGGUAUGGUUGUGAUGGAAGGUUGUUUUUAUGGGUAUUUGUCUAUUGUGGGAAUGGCUAGGUAUGGAGGCUUCUCGAUGGUGUUUGGGUUUAGAUUUGGGAGGUAAUGGCCGAUUGGGUUGGUUUAUGGUGUUUUGGUUCUUUGAUUUCCAUUGAGUAUUUGAGUUUGCUUGGAUUGGUUGAGUUCUUGAGUUUUAGGUGGAUUGUGGAAAAGCUUGCAGUGUUUAUUAUUAGAAACUCAACUCAUGAGGACUCUUUAUCAAAGGAAAUACAAACUUAUGAGGACUCUUCAUCAACCAAGUCACACGUGGAUAACUCUUCAACAUAGCAGCAUGAGGAUAAAUACUAAAAUGUUAUUGCUAAGAUAGAAUAGAAUU